rnacentral:rRNA from 1 species
GAUGAACGCUAGCGGCAGGCUUAAUACAUGCAAGUCAAGGGGGUAGCAAUACAACCGGCGCACGGGUGAGUAACGCGUACACAACAUGCCAUAUACUGGGGUAUAGCUUUGGGAAACUGAAGGUAAUCCCCCAUAACAUUGCGAGAGGGCAUCUGAUUGCAAUUAAAGUUUCGGCGGUAUAUGAUUGGUGUGCGUUUGAUUAGCUAGUUGGUAGGGUAACGGCCUACCAAGGCGACGAUCAAUAGCUGGCGUGAGAGCGCGACCAGCCACACUGGAACUGAGACACGGUCCAGACUCCUACGGGAGGCAGCAGUAGGGAAUAUUGGACAAUGGAGGAAACUCUGAUCCAGCCAUGCCGCGUGAUAGAUGAAGGCCCUCUGGGUUGUAAAUAUCUUUUAUCUGGGAGAAACUCCUCUAUUCUUAGAGGCCUGACGGUACCAGAGGAAUAAGCACCGGCUAACUCCGUGCCAGCAGCCGCGGUAA